CCCAACUAUCCCUAUUAAUCAUUACGGUGAUCCUAGAAACCAACAAAAUAGAACCAUGCGUCCUAUUUCAUUAUUCCAUGCUAAUGUAUUCAGGCAAUAGCCUGCUUUAAGCACUCUAAUUUUUUCAAGGUAACAGUCCUGCUUCCCCAACGCACCAAAUUAAUGACAUGCUGGUUAUUCAGAAGGUAGGAAUCCAUCACGCCAGUACAGACCCAAAGGCCCGACCAACGGAUAAACCCCGAAAUUCAACUACGAGCUUUUUAACUGCAACAACUUUAAUAUACGCUAUUGGAGCUGGAAUUACCGCGGCUGCUGGCACCAGACUUGCCCUCCAA
rnacentral:misc_RNA from 1 species